rnacentral:rRNA from 1 species
GUCGUAACAAGGUUUCNGUAGGUGAACCUGCGGAAGGAUCAUUUCUUGGUCAUUUAGAGGAAGUAAAAGUCGUAACAAGGUCUCCGUUGGUGAACCAGCGGAGGGAUC